rnacentral:rRNA from 1 species
UACGAAGGGGGCUAGCGUUGUUCGGAAUUACUGGGCGUAAAGCGCGCGCAGGCGGUCUUCCAAGUCAGUGGUGAAAGCCCGGAGCUCAACUCCGGAACUGCCAUUGAAACUGUUAGACUUGAGGACGAGAGAGGUGAGUGGAAUUCCCAGUGUAGGAGGUAGAAAUUCGUAGAUAGUUGGGAAGAACACCGGUGGCGAAGGCGGCUCACUGGCUCGUAUCUGACGCUCAGGCGCGACAGCGUGGGGAUCAAACAGG